rnacentral:rRNA from 1 species
UAGGGAAUCUUCCACAAUGGACGAAAGUCUGAUGGAGCAACGCCGCGUGAGUGAAGAAGGGUUUCGGCUCGUAAAACUCUGUUGUUAAAGAAGAACAUAUCUGAGAGUAACUGUUCAGGUAUUGACGGUAUUUAACCAGAAAGCCACGGCUAAACUACGUGCCAG